GACGAACGCUGGCGGUGUGCUUAACACAUGCAAGUCGAACGGAAAGGCCCUGCUUUUGUGGGGUGCUCGAGUGGCGAACGGGUGAGUAACACGUGAGUAACCUGCCCUUGACUUUGGGAUAACUCCAGGAAACUGGGGCUAAUACCGGAUAGGAGCUCCUGCUGCAUGGUGGGGGUUGGAAAGUUUCGGCGGUUGGGGAUGGACUCGCGGCUUAUCAGCUUGUUGGUGGGGUAGUGGCUUACCAAGGCUUUGACGGGUAGCCGGCCUGAGAGGGUGACCGGCCACAUUGGGACUGAGAUACGGCCCAGACUCCUACGGGAGGCAGCAGUGGGGAAUAUUGCACAAUGGGCGGAAGCCUGAUGCAGCAACGCCGCGUGCGGGAUGACGGCCUUCGGGUUGUAAACCGCUUUCGCCUGUGACGAAGCGUGAGUGACGGUAAUGGGUAAAGAAGCACCGGCUAACUACGUG
rnacentral:rRNA from 1 species